GAAAACAGGUUAAUAUUCCUGUACUUGGUGUUACUGCGAAGGGGGGACGGAGAAGGCUAUGUUGGCCGGGCGACGGUUGUCCCGGUUUAAGCGUGUAGGCUGGUUUUCCAGGCAAAUCCGGAAAAUCAAGGCUGAGGCGUGAUGACGAGGCACUACGGUGCUGAAGCAACAAAUGCCCUGCUUCCAGGAAAAGCCUCUAAGCAUCAGGUAACAUCAAAUCGUACCCCAAACCGACACAGGUGGUCAGGUAGAGAAUACCAAGGCGCUUGAGAGAACUCGGGUGAAGGAACUAGGCAAAAUGGUGCCGUAACUUCGGGAGAAGGCACGCUGAUAUGUAGGUGAAGCGACUUGCUCGUGGAGCUGAAAUCAGUCGAAGAUACCAGCUGGCUGCAACUGUUUAUUAAAAACACAGCACUGUGCAAACACGAAAGUGGACGUAUACGGUGUGACGCCUGCCCGGUGCCGGAAGGUUAAUUGAUGGGGUUAGCGCAAGCGAAGCUCUUGAUCGAAGCCCCGGUAAACGGCGGCCGUAACGAUAACUGUCCUAAGGUAGCGAAAUUCCUUGUCGGGUAAGUUCCGACCUGCACGAAUGGCGUAAUGAUGGCCAGGCUGUCUCCACCCGAGACUUAGUGAAAUUGAACUCGCUGUGAAGAUGCAGUGUACCCGCGGCAAGACGGAAAGACCCCGUGAACCAUUACUAUAGCUUGACACUGAACAUUGAGCCUUGAUGUGUAGGAUAGGUGGGAGGCUUUGAAGUGUGGACGCCAGUCUGCAUGGAGCCGACCUUGAAAUACCACCCUUUAAUGUUUGAUGUUCUAACGUUGACCCGUAAUCCGGGUUGCGGACAGUGUCUGGUGGGUAGUUUGACUGGGGCGGUCUCCUCCUAAAGAGUAACGGAGGAGCACGAAGGUUGGCUAAUCCUGGUCGGACAUCAGGAGGUUAGUGCAAUGGCAUAAGCCAGCUUGACUGCGAGCGUGACGGCGCGAGCAGGUGCGAAAGCAGGUCAUAGUGAUCCGGUGGUUCUGAAUGGAAGGGCCAUCGCUCAACGGAUAAAAGGUACUCCGGGGAUAACAGGCUGAUACCGCCCAAGAGUUCAUAUCGACGGCGGUGUUUGGCACCUCGAUGUCGGCUCAUCACAUCCUGGGGCUGAAGUAGGUCCCAAGGGUAUGGCUGUUCGCCAUUUAAAGUGGUACGCGAGCUGGGUUUAGAACGUCGUGAGACAGUUCGGUCCCUAUCUGCCGUGGGCGCUGGAGAACUGAGGGGGGCUGCUCCUAGUACGAGAGGACCGGAGUGGACGCAUCACUGGUGUUCGGGUUGUCAUGCCAAUGGCACUGCCCGGUAGCUAAAUGCGGAAGAGAUAAGUGCUGAAAGCAUCUAAGCACGAAACUUGCCCCGAGAUGAGUUCUCCCUGACUCCUUGAGAGUCCUGAAGGAACGUUGAAGACGACGACGUUGAUAGGCCGGGUGUGUAAGCGCAGCGAUGCGUUGAGCUAACCGGUACUAAUGAACCGUGAGGCUUAACCUC
rnacentral:rRNA from 1 species